GUAGAGCCUGUCUGAGGCCUCUGAUAUCCUUUGCCACGCUGUUGCAGAACCCCGAAUCUGCUGUCUGAUGAGUCUACUAAUGAGUGGGUUCUCUGAAGGAGUGGAGAUGGGAGACAAGAGGCCUAGAAAGACAGAUAAGAUACAAAAAUUACUGGUGUGAUGACUGAGGAGGUGACACACAGGAGGGCUUCACGUCACCACACAGAGCUCAAGACCUUUGAUUUCUUCCUCCACUACCAAUAAGAAAGCCUUCAUCCAGCAGCUGAUGGAAGUAGAAGCAGACACCCACAGCUAAACACUGAACUGAACUGGAAUCCAAUUUCAGAGAAGGAGAAAUGAUGAGCAAAGCGGUCCAUACCAGGCUGGUGAAACCCACAGAAACAGCUGACCUGAACAAGGAGGAGCUCUUGGCCUCUAGACCGAUCACUGGGAAACCAGCAUGGAACUGAUCCAGAUCCCAUGAAUGUGGGUGUCAGUAAGGAGGCCUCCGAAAUCUGUGUGGCCUCUUGUAGUAGAUCAGUACUUAUCCCUAGCAUAGGAAUGGACUUUGGGAGCCCAUUUUACAUCGAGGGAUACUCCCUUUGCCUAGACACACGGGGGAAGGGUCUAGGCCCUAUCCCAAAGGAUAUAACAGACUCCUAAGACUCCCCAUGGAAGACCUCACUCUCACUGGGGAGCAGAAAUGGUAUGGGAUAGGUAGGGUGUUAGUGGGGGCAAGGGAG
rnacentral:lncRNA from 1 species